UCGACACUCUCGACAUCAUCCUGCAGCCUUUGAUCUUCAAGACUUUUCUUUGAGAGUCUGGAAACAGCUCAGUUUGUCCGGCUCUGGAUUCUGACAAGCUAGGGACCAAACCUCCACCCUGCUGGCUGUGUGAUUCUGGGCAAGUCACUGCACCUCUCUGAGCCUCGCUCUUCUUCUCUGAAAAAUGAGAGUGAAAAGUACUCCCUGUAACUCUUUAUUACACCAUGAAGAGGGUCUCGGUUGGGUGUUCGUAUCCCUUUAACAACUCAGCACUUGGGCAGCUCUCGUAACAGCCCGAGAAGGCUUGAGAACCAGAGGCUUUGGACAACAUCGGACGGCCCACGCUCAAUCCACUGAGCUACACCAGCCAGGGCUGGAUCGUGUUUCUUUGAUUCCUGGAACCCUAGCCACCCUGCAUGAGACAAAGCUACACUGAGGUUCUGGCUGCACCACUUGCUGUUGCACAACCCAAGGCAAGAGGUUUGAUCCCAGUGGGCAUCAGUUCCCAUUUCUGAAAUGGGAACGAGAAUAGAAUGGAAGUAACAGCUGUUUGGAGAAUUAACAGGCAAGUGUGUAGCACAGCACCUGCCCACAGUCGAUGCUCAAUGAGGGACAACAGUUAGUGUUCUGCUGGUGACAGAUGCACUUUCCAAGGAGACACCAGUGAGUGUUCCACCCUGGAUGUGCAUGGUGUGCUCCUCGGACUCACGCUCUGCCCACU